rnacentral:rRNA from 1 species
UAGGGAAUCUUCCACAAUGGACGCAAGUCUGAUGGAGCAACGCCGCGUGAGUGAAGAAGGUUUUCGGACCGUAAAGCUCUGUUGUUGGUGAAGAAGGAUAGAGGUAGUAACUGGCCUUUAUUUGANGGUAAUCAACCAGAAAGUCACGGCUAACUACGUGCCAGCAGCCGCGGUAAUACGUAGGUGGCAAGCGUUGUCCGGAUUUAUUGGGCGUAAAGCGAGCGCAGGCGGAAGAAUAAGUCUGAUGUGAAAGCCCUCGGCUUAACCGAGGAAUUGCAUCGGAAACUGUUU